GUGGGGAAUUUUGCACAAUGGGGGAAACCCUGAUGCAGCGACGCCGCGUGAUUUAGAAGGCCUUCGGGUUGUAAAAAUCUUUUCUAUGGGAAGAAAAUGACAGUACCAUAGGAAUAAGGACCGGCUAAUUACGUGCCAGCAGCCGCGGUAAUACGUAAGGUCCGAGCGUUGUCCGGAAUCAUUGGGCGUAAAGGGUACGUAGGCGGGUAAGCAAGUUAGAAGUGAAAUCCUAUAGCUCAACUAUAGUAAGCUUUUAAAACUGCUCAUCUUGAGGUAUGGAAGGGAAAGUGGAAUUCCUAGUGUAGCGGUGAAAUGCGCAGAUAUUAGGAGGAAUACCGGUGGCGAAGGCGACUUUCUGGCCAUAACCUGACGCUGAGGUACGAAAGCGUGGGUAGCAAACAGGA
rnacentral:rRNA from 1 species